rnacentral:rRNA from 1 species
GCCUACGGCCAUACCACCCUGAAAGCGCCCGAUCUCGUCUGAUCUCGGAAGCUAAGCAGGGACGGGCUUGGUUAGUACCUGGAUGGGAGACUGCCUGGGAAUACCAGGUGUUGUAAGCU